CCCUUAGAUGUUCUGGGCUGCACGCGCGCUACACUGUCGGAUUCAGCGAGUCAUAUCCUUAACCGAAAGGUUUGGGUAAUCUUUUGAAAGUCCGACGUGAUGGGGAUUGAUCAUUGCAAUUAUUGAUCAUGAACGAGGAAUUCCUAGUAAGCGCGAGUCAUCAGCUCGCGUUGAUUACGUCCCUGCCCUUUGUACACACCGCCCGUCGCUACUACCGAUUGAAUGGUUUAGUGAGGUCUUCGGAUUGGCGCCUACGCGGCUUCUCUGAGGCCACGCUGGAUGCCGAAAAGUUGCUCAAACUGUAUCAUUUAGAGGAAGUAAAAGUCGUAACA
rnacentral:rRNA from 1 species